rnacentral:rRNA from 1 species
UACGUAGGGUCCGAGCGUUGUCCGGAAUUAUUGGGCGUAAAGAGCUCGUAGGCGGCCUGUCGCGUCUGCUGUGAAAGUCCGGGGCUUAACUCCGGGUGUGCAGUGGAUACGGGCAGGCUUGAGGUAGGUAGGGGAGACUGGAAUUCCCGGUGUAGCGGUGAAAUGCGCAGAUAUCAGGAGGAACACCGGUGGCGAAGGCGGGUCUCUGGGCCUUACCUGACGCUGAGGAGCGAAAGCGUGGGGAGCGAACAGGAUUAGAUACCCCGGUAGUCCCUGAG